GUAGGUGUUGCUGAAUGGUUACGCUGUUCGCUUUGUAAGCGGAAGGUUGUGGAUUUGAUUUCCAUCUGCUCCA
rnacentral:tRNA from 2 species